rnacentral:rRNA from 1 species
AUUGAACGCUGGCGGCAGGCCUAACACAUGCAAGUCGAGCGGAUGAUGGGAGCUUGCUCCUUGAUUCAGCGGCGGACGGGUGAGUAAUGCCUAGGAAUCUGCCUGGUAGUGGGGGACAACGUUUCGAAAGGAACGCUAAUACCGCAUACGUCCUACGGGAGAAAGCAGGGGACCUUCAGGCCUUGCGCUAUCAGAUGAGCCUAGGUCGGAUUAGCUUGUUGGUGAGGUAAUGGCUCACCAAGGCGACGAUCCGUAACUGGUCUGAGAGGAUGAUCAGUCAACCUGGAACAGAGACACGGUCCAGACUCCUACGGGAGGCAGCAGUCGGGAAUAUUGGACAAUGGGCGAAAGCCUGAUCCAGCCAUGCCGCGUGUGUGAAGAAGGUCUUCGGGUUGUAAAGCACUUUAAGUUGGGAGGAAGGGUUGUAGAUUAAUACUCUGCAAUUUUGACGUUACCGACAGAAUAAGCACCGGCUAACUCUGUGCCAGCCGCCACAGUAAAAC